rnacentral:rRNA from 1 species
UUUAAAUGUAAAAUAUAUAUCAAAGUAGUAUUAGUUAUGGUCUUGAAAUUUAAAAAAUUUGGCAGUAUUUUAGUCUAUUCAGAGGAACCUGUUCUGUAAUUGAUAGUCCACGAUAAAUUAAACUUAAUUUAAUUAGUUUGUAUAUCGUUGUUAUUAAAGAUUUUAUAAGAAUUUAAAUUUUUAAGAUUUAUGAUAUUAAAAAAUUUCAAAUCAAGGUGCAGUUUAUAGUUAAGUAGAAAUGGGUUACAAUAAAUAUAUUUAUAUGGAAAAAAUUAUGAAAAUAUUUUUGAAGGUGGAUUUGAAAGUAAUAAAGUUUAGAUUAAUUUUAUGAUUUAGCUCUAAAAUGUGU